UGCUCAGAUUGAACGCUGGCGGCAUGCUUUACACAUGCAAGUCGAACGGUAACAGGUCUUCGGAUGCUGACGAGUGGCGAACGGGUGAGUAACACAUCGGAACGUGCCUAGUAGUGGGGGAUAACUACUCGAAAGAGUAGCUAAUACCGCAUGAGAUCUAAGGAUGAAAGCAGGGGACCUUCGGGCCUUGCGCUACUAGAGCGGCUGAUGGCAGAUUAGGUAGUUGGUGGGAUAAAAGCUUACCAAGCCGACGAUCUGUAGCUGGUCUGAGAGGACGACCAGCCACACUGGGACUGAGACACGGCCCAGACUCCUACGGGAGGCAGCAGUGGGGAAUUUUGGACAAUGGGCGAAAGCCUGAUCCAGCAAUGCCGCGUGCAGGAUGAAGGCCCUCGGGUUGUAAACUGCUUUUGUUACGGAACGAAAAGAC
rnacentral:rRNA from 1 species